CUUCCUGAUGAUCAUUUCUUUUAUCAAUAUACGCUGGAAAUUACCGGCUGAGAUUUUUCAUUGACGAUAUAAAAUGGCUAUUUCUGAUU
rnacentral:snoRNA from 1 species